UAGGGAAUCUUCCGCAAUGGGCGAAAGCCUGACGGAGCAACGCCGCGUGAGUGAUGAAGGUCUUCGGAUCGUAAAACUCUGUUAUUAGGGAAGAACAAAUGUGUAAGUAACUAUGCACGUCUUGACGGUACCUAAUCAGAAAGCCACGGCUAACUACGUGCCAGCAGCCGCGGUAAUACGUAGGUGGCAAGCGUUAUCCGGAAUUAUUGGGCGUAAAGCGCGCGUAGGCGGUUUUUUAAGUCUGAUGUGAAAGCCCACGGCUCAACCGUGGAGGGUCAUUGGAAACUGGAAAACUUGAGUGCAGAAGAGUAAAGUGGAAUUCCAUGUGUGGCGGUGAAAUGCGCAGAGUUAUGGAGGAACACCAGUGGCGAAGGCGACUUUCUGGUCUGUAACUGACGCUGAUGUGCGAAAGCGUGGGGAUCAAACAGG
rnacentral:rRNA from 1 species